rnacentral:rRNA from 1 species
AACGAACGCUGGCGGCAUGCCUAACACAUGCAAGUCGAACGAGACCUUCGGGUCUAGUGGCGCACGGGUGCGUAACGCGUGGGAACCUGCCCUUAGGUUCGGAAUAACUCCCCGAAAGGGGUGCUAAUACCGGAUAAUGUCUUCGGACCAAAGAUUUAUCGCCUUUGGAUGGGCCCGCGUUUGAUUAGCUAGUUGGUAGGGUAAAAGCCUACCAAGGCGACGAUCCAUAGCUGGUCUGAGAGGAUGAUCAGCCACACUGGGACUGAGACACGGCCCAGACUCCUACGGGAGGCAGCAGUGGGGAAUAUUGGACAAUGGGCGAAAGCCUGAUCCAGCAAUGCCGCGUGAGUGAUGAAGGCCUUAGGGUUGUAAAGCUCUUUUACCCGGGAUGAUAAUGACAGUACCGGGAGAAUAAGCUCCGGCUACCUCCGU